rnacentral:rRNA from 1 species
UAGUAUCAGCUAGUUGGUAAGGUAAUGGCUUACCAAGGCUAUGACGCUUAACUGGUCUGAGAGGAUGAUCAGUCACACUGGAACUGAGACACGGUCCAGACUCCUACGGGAGGCAGCAGUAGGGAAUAUUGCGCAAUGGGGGAAACCCUGACGCAGCAACGCCGCGUGGAGGAUGACACUUUUCGGAGCGUAAACUCCUUUUCUUAGGGAAGAAUUCUGACGGUACCUAAGGAAUAAGCACCGGCUAACUCCGUGCCAGCAGCCGCGGUAAUACGGAGGGUGCAAGCGUUACUCGGAAUCACUGGGCGUAAAGGGCGCGUAGGCGGAUUAUCAAGUCUCUUGUGAAAUCUAAUGGCUUAACCAUUAAACUGCUUGGGAAACUGAUAGUCUAGAGUGAGGGAGAGGCAGAUGGAAUUGGUGGUGUAGGGGUAAAAUCCGUAGAUAUCACCAAGAAUACCCAUUGCGAAGGCGAUCUGCUGGAACUCAACUGACGCUAAGGCGCGAAAGCGUGGGGAGCAAACAGGAUUAGAUACCCUGGUAGUCCACGCCCUAAACGAUGUACACUAGUUGUUGGGGUGCUAGUCAUCUCAGUAAUGCAGCUAACGCAUUAAGUGUACCGCCUGGGGAGUACGGUCGCAAGAUUAAAACUCAAAGGAAUAGACGGGGACCCGCACAAGCGGUGGAGCAUGUGGUUUAAUUCGAAGAUACGCGAAGAACCUUACCUGGGCUUGAUAUCCUAAGAACCUUUUAGAGAUAAGAGGGUGCUAGCUUGCUAGAACUUAGAGACAGGUGCUGCACGGCUGUCGUCAGCUCGUGUCGUGAGAUGUUGGGUUAAGUCCCGCAACGAGCGCAACCCACGUAUUUAGUUGCUAACGGUUCGGCCGAGCACUCUAAAUAGACUGCCUUCGUAAGGAGGAGGAAGGUGUGGACGACGUCAAGUCAUCAUGGCCCUUAUGCCCAGGGCGACACACGUGCUACAAUGGCAUAUACAAUGAGACGCAAUACCGCGAGGUGGAGCAAAUCUAUAAAAUAUGUCCCAGUUCGGAUUGUUCUCUGCAACUCGAGAGCAUGAAGCCGGAAUCGCUAGUAAUCGUAGAUCAGCCAUGCUACGGUGAAUACGUUCCCGGGUCUUGUACUCACCGCCCGUCACACCAUGGGAGUUGAUUUCACUCGAAGCCGGAAUACUAAACUAGUUACCGUCCACAGUGGAAUCAGCGACUGGGGUGAAGUCGUAACAAGGUAACCGUAGGAGAACCUGCGGUUGGAUCACCUCCUUUCUA